UGUUGUAGACUUCAGAGAAGAGAAAAGAGGCAUUCGUCAGCGUAGGAAGGCCAACCGAGCGAAGCUCCUUUGGCCGUUCCGUGAAGUUCAAUUGUAUCGUAUGUUACUACACGCACGCGCCCGCCAGAAUGCCUCCUUGGUUCGGUAUGAAGCCAAGCCGAUACAUACGAUAGGCGAAGGAAAGACCCCUAUUUCAUAGCGCCUGGGGAACGCAAGUUUGAUCGAGGAUUGGAGAGGAGAGGUGGAAGAAAAGGCUCGGGAUGAAUUUAGGAGUCUUUGUG
rnacentral:lncRNA from 1 species